UUUGUUCAACCUACAAGCGUUGCUUGGUGGCACUGAGAUUUGAGGCAGAGAUUCAGGGCCACUGUUCUAGGAAUCUCCAUGAAGCAGCUGAGAGGGUGCAGGGCCAAGGACCUUCACUGAGCCACCCGGUGCGUGUGGGGCGUGGGGAUGUGUGUGAGUGCGUGUGGGUGCAUAAAAACAGGAAACUCCAGCUUGAGGUUUGAGCCACUGUGAGAAGAUGAUGUGAGAAGAUGUUGAGUUUCCUGGAAAAGCCACUCCCUUCUGAGUGUCAAACGCAGAGGGUGUCAGCCACUAACUGCCACCUUAAAGGCCAGAAUCUGCCCUCCUGCCUGGCUGGCCCCGUCCCACGGCCCCCUGGCCCGCUGCCCUGCUGGAGAGGGCCUGUGGGGCCAGGGAAUGGUCCUGUUUCUCAUCCUCUGCGGCUGGGUGCUCAUGGCUGCCGUGAGAACAGACGCCACGGCAAGCUUCGUGGAGCAGAGGCCCCGGUGGGUCCUGGUACCUCGCGGACAGGCUGAAACCCUGCGCUGCAUCCUGAGGAAUUCCCAGUACCCCUGGAUGAGCUGGUACCAACAGGAUCUCCAGGGGCAACUACAGAUGCUGGCCCGUCUGCGGAGUCCUGGGGAUAAGGAGGUCAUAUCCCUUCCUGGAGCAGAUUACCAGGCCACGCGGGUCGAUAACACCGAGCUGAGACUACAUGUGGCCAAUGUCACCCGAGGCAGAACCCUGUUCUGCACCUGCAGUAAAGACACAGUGAGACAACCUCUUUGGAUGAAUGAAUAAAAACCGCCCCUGGUUCCCAACCACACACCCAGCCUCCUCCUCUGCCCUCAGCCCCUCCCGAGGGAGCCUGCCUCCUCUGCACCCAGACCCUCCUUCUCGCCCUUUACUGAAUGCAGACUCUCGCUGCC